GCCUGGAUAGCUCAGUUGGUUAGAGCAUGAUGCUGAUAAUGCCAAGGUUGCAGGUUUGAUCCCCGUAUCGGACA
rnacentral:tRNA from 1 species